GGGCGAAUGGUCUAGGGGUAUGAUAUUCGCUUUGCAUACACGGGGUUGGAAUCUUACGGUUCCAAACUCAGCUAAAUUGCGAAGGGUCCGGGGUUCAAAUCCCCGUUCGUCCA